rnacentral:rRNA from 1 species
GUGGGAACCUGCCCAGUAGUAGAGAAUAACUUGGGGAAACUUAAGCUAAUACUUUAUAAGUCCUUCGGGAGAAAGCUUUAUGCGCUAUUGGAUGGGCCCGCGUUAGAUUAGUUUGUUGGUGAGGUAACGGCUCACCAAGGCGACGAUCUAUAGCUGGUCUGAGAGGAUGAUCAGCCACACUGGGACUGAGACACGGCCCAGACUCCUACGGGAGGCAGCAGUGGGGAAUAUUGGACAAUGGGGGCAACCCUGAUCCAGCGAUGCCGCGUGAGUGAUGAAGGCCCUAGGGUUGUAAAACUCUUUCGUCAGGGAAGAUAAUGACGGUACCUGAAGAAGAAGAUCCGGCUAACUCCGUGCCAGCAGCCGCGGUAAUACGGAGGGGUCUAGCGUUAUUCGGAAUUACUGGGCGUAAAGCGAGCGUAGGCGGAUUUGUAAGUUGGAGGUGAAAUCCCAGGGCUUAACUCUGGAACUGCCUUCAAAACUACAUUUCUUGAGUUUGGUAGAGGAGAGUGGAAUUCCUAGUGUAGAGGUGAAAUUCGUAGAUAUUAGGAGGAACACCAGUGGCGAAGGCGACUCUCUGGGCCAAUACUGACGCUGAGGUUCGAAAGCAUGGGUAGCGAACAGGAUUAGAUACCCUGGUAGUCCAUGCAGUAAACGAUGAGUGCUAGAUGUUGGGAAUUUAAAUUUCCAGUAUCGCAGUUAACGCGUUAAGCACUCCGCCUGGGAAGUACGG